AAUCGAACUCUCUACCUUGGGCGGAUAGGAAUUGAGACUUUCAAUGGUCCGCUCUUCUCUCCUCGUGAUCGAAGCUGACCCCAGAAGUUGGGUAUUCCUUCUUAAGAGGACACUAACCCUCCCGAUCUUGCUAGCCGGGGGCUCAGUCUUUCAAGAUUCAAUCUUUCCCCUUCCGGUCCCAGGGAAUCGCUCUUAUAGUAGGAGGUUUACUAUGUCCCUAGUCUUUCAAGAUACAAUCUUUCCCCUUCCGGUCCUAGGGAAUCACUCUUAUAGUAGGAGGUUUACUAUGUCCCCAACUUCUCUUUAUUAAGA
rnacentral:lncRNA from 1 species